CAAAAACAUGGCUUUUUGUUAUUAUUUAAAGUCAGGCCUGCCCAAUGAAAUUUAAAUGGCUGCGGUAAUUUGACCGUACAAAGGUAGCAUAAUCAUUAGUUUUUUAAUUGGAAGCUGGAAUGAAGGGUUAGAUGAGAAAAAUACUGUCUCUUGAAAAUUUUAUUAGAAUUUUAUUUUUAAGUUAAAAAGCUUAAAUGGGGUUUAAAGACGAGAAGACCCUUUAGAGUUUUAUAUAAUUAUUAUAUUUGGAUUUUUAGUAUUGAUUUUUUAAAUUUAUUAGUUAUAUUUGGUUGGGGUGAUUGGGAAAUUUAAUUAACUUUUCUUAUUUAAUACAUUUAUUUAUGGUUAAGCGAUCCAUAGAUUAUGAUUGAAAGAAUAAAUUACCUAAGGGAUAACAGCGUUAUUUUUUUUGAGAGUUCUAAUCGAAAAAAAAGAUUGCGACCUCGAUGUUGGAUUAAAAUUAAAUUAUGGUGCAGUAGUCAUAAUUUUAGGUCUGUUCGACCUUUAAAAUUUUACAUG
rnacentral:rRNA from 1 species